GAACGGGUGAGUAAUACAUAAAUAAUCUACCAUAAUGACUGGGAUAACCAAUGGAAACGCUGGCUAAUACCGGAUAGGUAAAACGAGGGCAUCUUUGUUUUAUUAAAGUAGGACUACUACACAAUAUGAUGAGUUUAUGGCGCAUUAGCUAGUUGGUGAGGUAACGGCUCACCAAGGCGAUGAUGCGUAGCCGACCUGAGAGGGUGACCGGCCACACUGGGACUGAGACACGGCCCAGACUCCUACGGGAGGCAGCAGUAGGGAAUUUUCGGCAAUGGGCGCAAGCCUGACCGAGCAACGCCGCGUGAGUGAAGAAGGCCUUCGGGUUGUAAAGCUCUGUUGUAAGGGAAGAACACUUUUUAGAGGAAAUGCUAGAGAGCUGACGGUACCUUACCAGAAAGCCACGGCUAACUACGUGCCAGCAGCCGCGGUAAUACGUAGGUGGCGAGCGUUAUCCGGAAUUAUUGGGCGUAAAGGGUGCGUAGGCGGUUUAUUAAGUCUGUGGUGAAAGUGCGGGGCUCAACCCCGUAUGGCCACAGAAACUGAUAGACUAGAGUACAGGAGAGGGCAGUGGAAUUCCAUGUGUAGCGGUAAAAUGCGUAGAUAUAUGGAGGAACACCGGUGGCGAAGGCGGCUGCCUGGCCUGUAACUGACGCUGAGGCACGAAAGCGUGGGGAGCAAAUAGGAUUAGAUACCCUAGUAGUCCACGCUGUAAACGAUGAUUACUAAGUGUUGGAGAAAUUCAGUGCUGCAGUUAACGCAAUAAGUAAUCCGCCUGGGGAGUAUGCACGCAAGUGUGAAACUCAAAGGAAUUGACGGGACCCCGCACAAGCGGUGGAGUAUGUGGUUUAAUUCG
rnacentral:rRNA from 1 species